rnacentral:tRNA from 16 species
GGUCGAAUGGUAAUGCAGCCGGAUGCAGACAUGUUGGUCAGCGGUUCGAAUCCCGGU